GAUGAACGCUGGCGGCGUGCCUAAUACAUGCAAGUCGAGCGAACAGACGAGGAGCUUGCUCCUCUGACGUUAGCGGCGGACGGGUGAGUAACACGUGGAUACCCUACCUAUAAGACUGGGAUAACUUCGGGAAACCGGAUCUAAUACCGGAUAAUAUAUUGAACCGCAUGGUUCAAUAGUGAAAGACGGUUUUGCUGUCACUUAUAGAUGGAUCCGCGCCGCAUUAGCUAGUUGGUAAGGUAACGGCUUACCAAGGCAACGAUGCGUAGCCGACCUGAGAGGGUGAUCGGCCACACUGGAACUGAGACACGGUCCAGACUCCUACGGGAGGCAGCAGUAGGGAAUCUUCCGCAAUGGGCGAAAGCCUGACGGAGCAACGCCGCGUGAGUGAUGAAGGUCUUCGGAUCGUAAAACUCUGUUAUUAGGGAAGAACAAAUGUGUAAGUAACUAUGCACGUCUUGACGGUACCUAAUCAGAAAGCCACGGCUAACUACGUG
rnacentral:rRNA from 1 species